rnacentral:lncRNA from 1 species
CUGAGCCCCACUGACGGCCCCCAGGGCAGCGGAGACCGCUGUGGCGGCAGCGACGCGCUAGAGCACUUCUUAUAUCAUCAUGCCACUGGGCGUUUCAGGCUCUGGCACCAGAAUCCGGGAGAAGGUCACCACGAGAUGCCAGUAGGGCCAAGAUGAAGACCACGUGAGACAGGUGUCGGCAACCUACAGCCCAUGAGUCAAAUCGAGCCCACUCCCUCUUUUUGUACAACCCACAAGCUGAGAAUGGCUUUUACAUUUUAAGGGGUUGGGGGAAAAAAUCAAAAGAAGAGUAACAUUGUGACGUGAAAGCUGUA